CCCUUAGAUGUUCUGGGCCGCACGCGCGCUACACUGACGAAGUCAGCGAGCAUGUCCUACGCCGACAGGUGCGGGGAAUCUUGUCAAACUUCGUCGUGAUGGGGAUUGAUUAUUGAAAUUCUUGAUCAUCAACGAGGAAUUCCUAGUAAGCGCAAGUCAGCAGCUUGCGUUGAUUACGUCCCUGCCCUUUGUACACACUGCCCGUCGCUACUACCGAUUGAAUGGUUUAGUGAGAUCUUCGGAUUGGCGCCACUGCGGCUCAGCAAUGGGCUCGGUGGAUGCCGAAAAGUUGAUCAAACUUGAUCAUUUAGAGGAAGUAAAAGUCGUAACA
rnacentral:rRNA from 1 species